rnacentral:lncRNA from 10 species
CUGCAAAGCGUUUUUCUGCAGGCUGUUUUCCCAGGUUCCCUCGGCCUGUACCUCGCGCACUCCUCUUGCUCCAGGUCCUUCAGUCUCCGCUCGUCUCACCGUAGGCUGUGACGACAUGAGCAACAAAGAAGGAUCAGGAGGGUUCAGGAAAAGGAAGCAUGACAAUUUCCCACAUAACCAAAGAAGAGAAGGGAAGGAUGUUAAUUCAUCUUCACCCGUGAUGUUGGCCUUUAAAUCAUUUCAGCAGGAACUUGAUGCAAGGCAUGACAAAUAUGAGAGACUUGUGAAACUUAGUCGGGAUAUAACUGUUGAAAGUAAAAGGACAAUUUUUCUCCUCCAUAGGAUUACAAGAAGUUUACAGGCAAGAUCCUACUCACAGAGGCUCUUGGGAUCAAGGCUGACAGAAGCUCCAUCUGAAGACUUUUAUACUAUAGAGGCAGAAAAAGAGUGAUGAAUCAAGCACUGGCUUCUAAAGCUUCCGCCCAGAUGGGAAGCAUAUCUCCUCUGCUCACAUUUCCCUGACCAAAGCCAGUCACAUGGCCAUCCUCAGCUUCAGAGAGGUUGGGAAGGCAUUCCCACUAUGUGUCUGGAUGCCAGCAACUCAGAAAUAUUUGCAACCAGCCAUGAAACAAAAGUUUAAAAGCCACUCAUCUGGUUUCCCCUUUGUUUUCAAAGAAGGAAGCUAGAAAAU